UGCUAAGAUAGUUUUGAGAUGGAGAUCAUUUUUUAUGUUUGAAGAACGCAAAAGUUAUGAGUGCCUCAGCCACAGCUGUGCCUAGCAGAGAAGUCAGGCAGCAACAGAAUACACCACGAAGGCAAGAUAGACCAAGAGCAACUACUAGAAGAUUUUUUUUAGUACGCCUGAGCAAGCGCAACAUUUGUAAUAAUGCCUCUCGAUUGCGCCGCAGCAAAAGAUUAGCCGCACGAGAUCAUGAGCACAGAUUAAAGUAGACUUCGAAAAGGGACGAGACGAGCAGGACAUUAAGCUGAUGCGUUCCUGCAAAGUAAUUGCAACAGGCUUUCUUAGUGGAACACCGAUGUGCCAAAAUUUGAUCUCUUGGACUGGCGUCGCGCUGCAGUGCAUUUGCAGUUUUUU